rnacentral:rRNA from 1 species
UUACGCUGUUAUCCCUAAGGUAAUUUAUUUUAAAAUACUAAAUUUUAGGUUUAUAAGUUCAUUAAUUAAUGUUUUAUUAUUUUAAAGUUUAUAAAAUUAAAAAAUUACCCCAAUUAAAUAUUAAUUAAAAUUUAUAUUAUUAAUAUUUAUAAUUUUAAUUUUAAUUUAUAUAAAAUUCUAAAGGGUCUUUUCGUCUUUUAAUAAUAUUUAAGAAUUUUAACUUAAAAUUUAAGUUUAAUUUUAAUUUUAUUAAUAAAGUUUAUAUUUCAUUUAAUCUUUCAAGCUAGUUUUCAAUUAAAAAACUAAUUAUUAUGCUACCUUUGUACAGUUAUUGAUACUGCAGCCAUUAAAAUUUUCAUUGGGCAGAUUAGACUUAAAAUUAUUUACAACAAGACAUGUUUUUGUUAAACAGGCG